AAAUACUAGAAUUAACAUUAUCUGUCAUGUUUGUCUAUCAAGGUACUCAUAAUACAUUCAGACAUUUACUUACAUUAUAAGUUAAAAAUAGUUAUAUAUGUAGUAUAUCCAUGCUGACAUUGUAAAGGAACAACCAAAGUAUGUGUUCUGCAUUUCAAUAAAAUAUGAAGGUUUUUAAACAAUUUACAAUUAGUGAGUUUAAAUUGAUGAAAAUAGAAAGAAAACCUGUAUUGAAUUCUAAAUAUUUAACAUGCUAUUGCAGAAAUACUAGCGCUCUGUAAAAAGGAAUAUGAAAAUGUGGGAUGCUGGAAUUAAUUCAGUAUGUAGGCUAAAGGUAGUUAUACAGCUCCAUAGAAAAGUGAUAGGCAACAUUGUGUAUUUUGCAAAUAGAUUAAACAUACAAAUUAUAUUUGAAAGAACAGAUAAGGUUUUCAAAUAAUUACAGCAUAGGGUGCGUGGUCGCUAUCAGAGGUUACAGC